rnacentral:rRNA from 1 species
GACGAACGCUGGCGGCGUGCUUAACACAUGCAAGUCGAACGGAAAGGCCCUGCUUUUGUGGGGUGCUCGAGUGGCGAACGGGUGAGUAACACGUGAGUAACCUGCCCUUGACUUUGGGAUAACUUCAGGAAACUGGGGCUAAUACCGGAUAGGAGCUCCUGCUGCAUGGUGGGGGUUGGAAAGUUUCGGCGGUUGGGGAUGGACUCGCGGCUUAUCAGCUUGUUGGUGGGGUAGUGGCUUACCAAGGCUUUGACGGGUAGCCGGCCUGAGAGGGUGACCGGCCACAUUGGGACUGAGAUACGGCCCAGACUCCUACGGGAGGCAGCAGUGGGGAAUAUUGCACAAUGGGCGGAAGCCUGAUGCAGCAACGCCGCGUGCGGGAUGACGGCCUUCGGGUUGUAAACCGCUUUCGCCUGUGACGAAGCGUGAGUGACGGUAAUGGGUAAAGAAGCACCGGCUAACUACGUGCCAGCAGCCGCGGUGAUACGUAGGGUGCGAGCGUUGUCCGGAUUUAUUGGGCGUAAAGGGCUCGUAGGUGGUUGAUCGCGUCGGAAGUGUAAUCUUGGGGCUUAACCCUGAGCGUGCUUUCGAUACGGGUUGACUUGAGGAAGGUAGGGGAGAAUGGAAUUCCUGGUGGAGCGGUGGAAUGCGCAGAUAUCAGGAGGAACACCAGUGGCGAAGGCGGUUCUCUGGGCCUUUCCUGACGCUGAGGAGCGAAAGCGUGGGGAGCGAACAGGCUUAGAUACCCUGGUAGUCCACGCUGUAAACGGUGGGUACUAGGUGUGGGGUCCAUUCCACGGGUUCCGUGCCGUAGCUAACGCUUUAAGUACCCCGCCUGGGGAGUACGGCCGCAAGGCUAAAACUCAAAGGAAUUGACGGGGCCCCGCACAAGCGGCGGAGCAUGCGGAUUAAUUCGAUGCAACGCGUAGAACCUUACCUGGGUUUGACAUGGAUCGGGAGCGCUCAGAGAUGGGUGUGCCUCUUUUGGGGUCGGUUCACAGGUGGUGCAUGGCUGUCGUCAGCUCGUGUCGUGAGAUGUUGGGUUAAGUCCCGCAACGAGCGCAACCCUUGUUCACUGUUGCCAGCACGUUAUGGUGGGGACUCAGUGGAGACCGCCGGGGUCAACUCGGAGGAAGGUGGGGAUGACGUCAAGUCAUCAUGCCCCUUAUGUCCAGGGCUUCACGCAUGCUACAAUGGCUGGUACAGAGAGUGGCGAGCCUGUGAGGGUGAGCGAAUCUCGGAAAGCCGGUCUCAGUUCGGGUUGGGGUCUGCAACUCGACCUCAUGAAGUCGGAGUCGCUAGUAAUCGCAGAUCAGCAACGCUGCGGUGAAUACGUUCCCGGGGCU